GGAAUUUACUGAAGUGUGAAUAUGGCUCAUUUCCCAGAUCAUCAGGUACAGAGGAAACAUCCAAAAGCGCAGAAAGCACUUUAAUAGACUCGUUGGACUACAAUGUCAUGAACACCGACAUCUGAGCUCCUCUGUGGGCUCUGCUCUACGGUGCAAUGACUCCACAGGUCACGUUGUGUCCAGAGCACCCAACAAACUCAUAAUAAUUCAUACAAGAUGG